rnacentral:lncRNA from 1 species
GGUCUAAGCCUCAUACACUUGCUGUAUCUAAUGAAAUAACUCAUGACUCCAGUUUGAACAGAAAGUGAUUCCAUUCUGUCUCUUUUUAAAUCUGUAGGGAAAUUCUGAGGAGUUUGACUCUUUCAUUCAUCCUGUCUGAGGCAGCCAACCACACAGCACUGCUUGAACUGGCGUCCUGAUAUGUGUCUCUCUGGCAACAUGUUGGCAUCCUCAUGAACAAUGAAGUAAAUCUUCAGCUCUAGACUUCCUGAAAUUGGAAAUGCAGGAAUGGAUCUUUGGAGAAGGUCUCAGGAAAGAAAAUGUGCCAUUGACUUUCACACCUUCAACCUCAAGCAAAUUAACCACCAAGACCAUCGCUAAAGUUUUUAAGGCUGUGAAUAUCCUGCGUUGGAGAAAUCAGACCUAACUGACUCACAGUAUCCUGUGAGGCAGUGCCACUGAGGCUGCCAAGGCAUGCUGGUGCCAAGCUGUCACGUGAUGCACUCAGCUUGGCCGGCGCUGCUUGUCAUGGCAACGCUUCUGCUCCUCACUGAUGCUGAAUCAUUCGCUUGUCCACUGUAACAUAAACAGCUGAUGUAACUGGCCACUCACAGACUCUCUGCC